rnacentral:rRNA from 1 species
GGAAUCUUCGGCAAUGGGGGCAACCCUGACCGAGCAACGCCGCGUGAGUGAAGAAGGUUUUCGGAUCGUAAAGCCCUGUUGUAAGAGAAGAACGUGUGUGAGAGUGGAAAGUUCACACAGUGACGGUAACUUACCAGAACGGGACGGCUAACUCCGUGCCAGCAGCCGCGGUAAUACGGAGGAUGCAAGCGUUAUCCGGAUUUAUUGGGUUUAAAGGGUGCGCAGGCGGGCUGUUAAGUCAGCGGUGAAAUGUCCCGGCUCAACCGGGGCACUGCCGUUGAUACUGGCAGCCUAGAGUACAGACGGCGCCGGCGGAAUGUGUCAUGUAGCGGUGAAAUGCUUAGAUAUGCCACAGAACACCGAUCGCGAAGGCAGCUGGCGAGGCUGGGACUGACGCUCAGGCACGAAAGCGUGGGGAUCAAACA